ACUGCUCAGUAACACGUAGCUAACCUACCCUUAAGUCAAGGAUAACCUCGGGAAACUGAGGAUAAUACUUGAUAGGAGAUAUACCCUGGAAAGAUUUAUCUCUCAAACUCGCGCUUAAGGAUGGGGCUGCGGCGGAUUAGGUAGUUGGCGGGGUAAUAGCCCACCAAGCCUGUGAUCCGUAAGGGCUCUUAGCGGAGAGGCCCUGAGAGGGAAUCUGAGACACUAUUCCAGCCCUACGGGGUGCAGCAGGUAGGAAUCUUUUGCAAUGCGCGCAAGCGUGACGAAGCGAGCCAGAGUGCUUUUCAAUUGAAAAGCUUUUGCUAAAUUUAAAAAGUUUGGCGAAUAAGGACUGGGCAAGACUAGUGCCAGCCGCCGCGGUAAUACUAGCGGUCCAAGUCGCAGCCAUCAUUAUUGGGUCUAAAACAUCCGUAGCUUGCUUAAUAAGUUCCUUGUGAAAUCUUGUCUCUUAAGGGCAAGGCGUGCAAGGAAUACUGCUAAGCUAGAGACUGGAAGACGUGGAAAGUAUGUUCAAAGUAGCGGUAAAAUGUGUUAAUCUUGAGCAGACUCACAAUAGCGAAGGCAUUCCACGAGGACAGUUCUGACAGUAAAGGAUGAAGGCUAGGGGCGCAAAAUGGAUUAGAUACCCAUGUAGUCCUAGCAGUAAACACUGCACACUAAACAUUAGUACCUCUUCGAGAGGUAUUAGUGCUGUAGAGAAGUCGAAGAGUGUGCUACCUGGGAAGUAUAGCCGCAAGGCCGAAACUUAAAGGAAUUGGCGGGGGAGCA
rnacentral:rRNA from 1 species